rnacentral:rRNA from 1 species
UACGUAGGGCGCAAGCGUUGUCCGGAAUUAUUGGGCGUAAAGAGCUCGUAGGCGGCUCGUUGCGUCAACCGUGAAAACCCGGGGCUUAACUUCGGGCUUGCGGUUGAUACGGGCGGGCUGGAGUUCGGUAGGGGAGACUGGAAUUCCUGGUGUAGCGGUGAAAUGCGCAGAUAUCAGGAGGAACACCGGUGGCGAAGGCGGGUCUCUGGGCCGAUACUGACGCUGAGGAGCGAAAGCGUGGGGAGCGAACAGG